GCCCAGGUGGCGAAAUUUGGCAGACGCGCAUGUCUGAGGGGCAUGUGCCCGAAAGGGCUUGCGGGUUCAAGUCCCGCCCUGGGCA
rnacentral:tRNA from 1 species